GAUGAACGCUGACAGAAUGCUUAACACAUGCAAGUCAACUUGAACUUCGGUUUGGGUGGCGGACGGGUGAGUAACGCGUAAAGAACUUGCCUCACAGCUAGGGACAACAUUUGGAAACGAAGGCUAAUACCUGAAAUUAUGAUUAUAUGGCAUCGUAUAAUUAUGAAAGCUAUAUGCGCUGUGAGAGAGCUUUGCGUCCCAUUAGCUAGUUGGUGAGGUAACAGCUCACGAAGGCGAUGAUGGGUAGCCGGCCUGGGAGGGUGAUCGGCCACAAGGGGACUGAGACACGGCGCUGACGCCUACGGGAGGCAGCAGUGGGGAAUAUUGGACAAUGGACCGAGAGUCUGAUCCAGCAAUUCUGUGUGCACGAUGAAGUUUUUCGGAAUGAAAAGUGCUUUCAGUUGGGAAGAAAAAAAUGACGGUACCAACAGAAGAAGUGACGGCUAAAUACGUG
rnacentral:rRNA from 1 species